GAAAGAGAGAAUGGGUUAAUCCAUGCAAGCAGAGACACAGGUGUAGUGUGGUAGGGGAAAUCUGGUUGCUGGUUUCCCCAUGUGCUAAUUUUUCUUUUGCCAGUGUCAUGAGUUACUCCAGCAGGCAACUUGUCUCCCUGCCUCUCCUCUUGCUACUCCUCAGCUAUGGCAGGGGAAGUCACCAGCAAGAGCAAAUCACAAGAGUAGCAGGCGAGGACAUCAUUUUUAACAUCAGUAUCACAGAGUCCGAUGAAGACAUAAAGGGCAUAAAGACUGUCAGCCUGUACAAAGACACCACAAAGGUCGGCGAAUGCCUUCACAUGGCUAUGAACUGCACAUACUCACGUGGCGUAUUGAAAACGAUCUCUCAGCAAGUGAUUGUCAGCAUCCAAAAUCUCUCAGUCAAUGAUUCUGGAAAUUACUCUGUCACCUUUUUCCUGCAACCCACAAAACCUCAGUAUUUAAUUCAUGCUGGUCCUGUGUGUCUUAGUGUCAUUUCGGGUGCUGCAUCACCUUUCACAAAUUCUCCUGACCUCAAUGGAAACAAUGGAGAUGCUCACAACGACCCUUCUACAUCCUUCUCCUAUAUCUACAUCAUUUUUGCAUUAGCACUCUCAACCAUGAUGUUGCCAGCUGUGCUGCUGAGCUGGUUCUGCUGGACCCCAAAGCGGAGCUCAGACCGGGGAUUGUCGCCAAGUCCCACCAAUGAGUAUCAGGUGAGAAGUGAAGUGUCCAGGACCGUUCCGAUGCACUCCACUGAGUACGGAGUGCUGGAGUUCCCCAACAUGCCGGAGAGGAAGGACAAGGCCGAGCGUAGCAAGGAGCCCAUAGACUCGGUUGAGUACGCCACCAUCACGUUCUCGCUGGUGAACACCAGUGGAACCAUGCUGGGCCAGAAGUCAGUACUCUCCAAGUGCUCUCACACUGGACAACUUGCAAUGCCAUACUAAAUGGGCUGGACUUUGUAGAAAAAUGUGGUAAAAUGACUUUUCUUUUCAGAUGUGCUUAGUAGGCCUUGCCACAUUGACAGGCUGAGCAGUAACUAUAGCCUCCCCGCAACACAAGGGUACGGUGUGUACGUCACAAUACGUACAGUACAAGGUGACUGAACGCCACCCUUUGAUCCUCCGAACAGAGUUCAGCCCUGUACAGGAUGCGUCUUUCCUCUCGUGUAGUGUCUUCCUUCUUUAGUCUUUUGCUUUCCCGUGUCAUGGCUGUCAUUUUAUUUCCAUUAAGGUGCUACUGCCCUGUAACACUAUUUGUGAAAUCUUUUUUGUACAAUACUUAUCUGAGUCUUUAAAGACAUGGAGAUUGAAAAAAAAUCUUACACUAUUAGCUCGAUUUAUAUUAAAGUAGUCUUUAUUUUUGCCUAAGAAUGUUUUAAUUUUGAAGCCCCCAGAAAAUAUGCUUACUCCCUACAUAUGCAUAAUUGACAUCCAGAAACAAAUGGGAAAGUUGUGAGGCAUCAGUUCCCUUGGAACCCUGCUGUUUGUACAUGUACGAUAAAUUACUACAGAGCACCAGA
rnacentral:lncRNA from 1 species